rnacentral:rRNA from 1 species
UUAAGCGACUAAGCGUACACGGUGGAUGCCCUGGCAGUCAGAGGCGAUGAAGGACGUGCUAAUCUGCGAUAAGCGUCGGUAAGGUGAUAUGAACCGUUAUAACCGGCGAUUUCCGAAUGGGGAAACCCAGUGUGUUUCGACACACUAUCAUUAACUGAAUCCAUAGGUUAAUGAGGCGAACCGGGGGAACUGAAACAUCUAAGUACCCCGAGGAAAAGAAAUCAACCGAGAUUCCCCCAGUAGCGGCGAGCGAACGGGGAGCAGCCCAGAGCCUGAAUCAGUGUGUGUGUUAGUGGAAGCGUCUGGAAAGGCGCGCGAUACAGGGUGACAGCCCCGUACACAAAAAUGCACAUACUGUGAGCUCGAUGAGUAGGGCGGGACACGUGGUAUCCUGUCUGAAUAUGGGGGGACCAUCCUCCAAGGCUAAAUACUCCUGACUGACCGAUAGUGAACCAGUACCGUGAGGGAAAGGCGAAAAGAACCCCGGCGAGGGGAGUGAAAAAGAACCUGAAACCGUGUACGUACAAGCAGUGGGAGCCUCUUUAUGGGGUGACUGCGUACCUUUUGUAUAAUGGGUCAGCGACUUAUAUUCUGUAGCAAGGUUAACCGAAUAGGGGAGCCGAAGGGAAACCGAGUCUUAACUGGGCGUUAAGUUGCAGGGUAUAGACCCGAAACCCGGUGAUCUAGCCAUGGGCAGGUUGAAGGUUGGGUAACACUAACUGGAGGACCGAACCGACUAAUGUUGAAAAAUUAGCGGAUGACUUGUGGCUGGGGGUGAAAGGCCAAUCAAACCGGGAGAUAGCUGGUUCUCCCCGAAAGCUAUUUAGGUAGCGCCUCGUGAAUUCAUCUCCGGGGGUAGAGCACUGUUUCGGCAAGGGGGUCAUCCCGACUUACCAACCCGAUGCAAACUGCGAAUACCGGAGAAUGUUAUCACGGGAGACACACGGCGGGUGCUAACGUCCGUCGUGAAGAGGGAAACAACCCAGACCGCCAGCUAAGGUCCCAAAGUCAUGGUUAAGUGGGAAACGAUGUGGGAAGGCCCAGACAGCCAGGAUGUUGGCUUAGAAGCAGCCAUCAUUUAAAGAAAGCGUAAUAGCUCACUGGUCGAGUCGGCCUGCGCGGAAGAUGUAACGGGGCUAAACCAUGCACCGAAGCUGCGGCAGCGACACUAUGUGUUGUUGGGUAGGGGAGCGUUCUGUAAGCCUGUGAAGGUGUGCUGUGAGGUAUGCUGGAGGUAUCAGAAGUGCGAAUGCUGACAUAAGUAACGAUAAAGCGGGUGAAAAGCCCGCUCGCCGGAAGACCAAGGGUUCCUGUCCAACGUUAAUCGGGGCAGGGUGAGUCGACCCCUAAGGCGAGGCCGAAAGGCGUAGUCGAUGGGAAACAGGUUAAUAUUCCUGUACUUGGUGUUACUGCGAAGGGGGGACGGAGAAGGCUAUGUUGGCCGGGCGACGGUUGUCCCGGUUUAAGCGUGUAGGCUGGUUUUCCAGGCAAAUCCGGAAAAUCAAGGCUGAGGCGUGAUGACGAGGCACUACGGUGCUGAAGUAACAAAUGCCCUGCUUCCAGGAAAAGCCUCUAAGCAUCAGGUAACAUCAAAUCGUACCCCAAACCGACACAGGUGGUCAGGUAGAGAAUACCAAGGCGCUUGAGAGAACUCGGGUGAAGGAACUAGGCAAAAUGGUGCCGUAACUUCGGGAGAAGGCACGCUGAUACGUAGGUGAAGUCCCUUGCGGAUGGAGCUGAAAUCAGUCGAAGAUACCAGCUGGCUGCAACUGUUUAUUAAAAACACAGCACUGUGCAAACACGAAAGUGGACGUAUACGGUGUGACGCCUGCCCGGUGCCGGAAGGUUAAUUGAUGGGGUUAGCGGUAACGCGAAGCUCUUGAUCGAAGCCCCGGUAAACGGCGGCCGUAACUAUAACGGUCCUAAGGUAGCGAAAUUCCUUGUCGGGUAAGUUCCGACCUGCACGAAUGGCGUAAUGAUGGCCAGGCUGUCUCCACCCGAGACUCAGUGAAAUUGAACUCGCUGUGAAGAUGCAGUGUACCCGCGGCAAGACGGAAAGACCCCGUGAACCUUUACUAUAGCUUGACACUGAACAUUGAGCCUUGAUGUGUAGGAUAGGUGGGAGGCUUUGAAGUGUGGACGCCAGUCUGCAUGGAGCCGACCUUGAAAUACCACCCUUUAAUGUUUGAUGUUCUAACGUUGGCCCCUGAUCGGGGUUGCGGACAGUGUCUGGUGGGUAGUUUGACUGGGGCGGUCUCCUCCUAAAGAGUAACGGAGGAGCACGAAGGUUGGCUAAUCCUGGUCGGACAUCAGGAGGUUAGUGCAAUGGCAUAAGCCAGCUUGACUGCGAGCGUGACGGCGCGAGCAGGUGCGAAAGCAGGUCAUAGUGAUCCGGUGGUUCUGAAUGGAAGGGCCAUCGCUCAACGGAUAAAAGGUACUCCGGGGAUAACAGGCUGAUACCGCCCAAGAGUUCAUAUCGACGGCGGUGUUUGGCACCUCGAUGUCGGCUCAUCACAUCCUGGGGCUGAAGUAGGUCCCAAGGGUAUGGCUGUUCGCCAUUUAAAGUGGUACGCGAGCUGGGUUUAGAACGUCGUGAGACAGUUCGGUCCCUAUCUGCCGUGGGCGCUGGAGAACUGAGGGGGGCUGCUCCUAGUACGAGAGGACCGGAGUGGACGCAUCACUGGUGUUCGGGUUGUCAUGCCAAUGGCACUGCCCGGUAGCUAAAUGCGGAAGAGAUAAGUGCUGAAAGCAUCUAAGCACGAAACUUGCCCCGAGAUGAGUUCUCCCUGACUCCUUGAGAGUCCUGAAGGAACGUUGAAGACGACGACGUUGAUAGGCCGGGUGUGUAAGCGCAGCGAUGCGUUGAGCUAACCGGUACUAAUGAACCGUGAGGCUUAACCUU